rnacentral:rRNA from 1 species
CACGUAGGCACCAAGCGUUGUCCGGAUUUAUUGGGUGUAAAGAGCUCGUAGGCGGUUCGGUAAGUCGGGUGUGAAAACUCUGGGCUCAACCCAGAGCCGCCACCCGAUACUGCUGUGACUCGAGUGCGGUAGGGGAGCGGGGAAUUCCUGGUGUAGCGGUGAAAUCUGUUGAUAUUAGGAAGAACACCGGUGGCGAAGGCGGACUCCUGGCCGAAGAUUGACGCUGAGGUGCGAAAGCAUAGGGAGCAAACAGG